rnacentral:rRNA from 1 species
AUUGAACGCUGGCGGCAGGCUUAACACAUGCAAGUCGAGCGGGGUGAUGGUGCUUGCACUAUCACUUAGCGGCGGACGGGUGAGUAAUGCUUAGGAAUCUGCCUAUUAGUGGGGGACAACAUCUCGAAAGGGAUGCUAAUACCGCAUACGUCCUACGGGAGAAAGCAGGGGAUCACUUGUGACCUUGCGCUAAUAGAUGAGCCUAAGUCGGAUUAGCUAGUUGGUGGGGUAAAGGCCUACCAAGGCGACGAUCUGUAGCGGGUCUGAGAGGAGGAUCCGCCACACUGGGACGGAGACACGGCCCAGACUCCUACGGGAGGCAGCAGUGGGGAAUAUUGGACAAUGGGGGGAACCCUGAUCCAGCCAUGCCGCGUGUGUGAAGAAGGCCUUAUGGUUGUAAAGCACUUUAAGCGAGGAGGAGGCUCUUUUGGUUAAUACCCAAGAUGAGUGGACGUUACUCGCAGAAUAAGCACCGGCUAACUCUGUGCCAGCCGCCGCGGUAA